rnacentral:rRNA from 1 species
AGUGAACGCUGGCGGCAGGCCUAACACAUGCAAGUCGAACAGCAGCACAGGAGAGCUUGCUCUCUGGGUGGCGAGUGGCGGACGGGUGAGGAAUAUAUCGGAAUCUACCCUUUCGUGGGGGAUAACGUAGGGAAACUUACGCUAAUACCGCAUACGAACUGAGGUUGAAAGCGGCGGACCGCAAGGCGUCGCGCGGAUGGAUGAGCCGAUAUCCGAUUAGCUAGUUGGCGGGGUAAAGGCCCACCAAGGCGACGAUCGGUAGCUGGUCUGAGAGGAUGAUCAGCCACACUGGAACUGAGACACGGUCCAGACUCCUACGGGAGGCAGCAGUGGGGAAUAUUGGACAAUGGGCGCAAGCCUGAUCCAGCUAUGCCGCGUGUGUGAAGAAGGCCUUCGGGUUGUAAAGCACUUUUGUUGGGAAAGAAAAGCGGUCGGUUAAUACCCGGUCGUUCUGACGGUACCCAAAGAAUAAGCACCGGCUAACUUCGUGCCAGCAGCCGCAGUAA